rnacentral:rRNA from 1 species
UACGAGGGGGGCAAAUGUUGUUCGGAAUCACUGGGCGUAAAGGGAGCGUAGGCGGGUUUUUAAGUCAGGUGUUUAAUCCCGGGGCCCAACCCCGGACAGGCACUUGAAACUGGGAAUCUUGAAUAGUGGAGAGGUCGGUGGAAUUGGAGGUGUAGCGGUGGAAUGCGUAGAGAUCUCCAAGAACACCCGUUGCGAAGGCGGCCGACUGGACACAUAUGACGCUGAGGCUCGAAAGCAUGGGGAGCAAACAGGG